rnacentral:rRNA from 1 species
AAGGUAGCGUAAUCACUUGUUCUUUAAAUAAGGACCAGUAUGAAAGGCUAAACGAGAAUCCAUCUGUCUCUUGCAGGCAGCCAAUGAAAUUGAUCUCCCUGUGCAAAAGCAGGGAUUCAUACAUUAGACGAGAAGACCCUGUGAAACUUUAAACCCCUAGGCCACAACAAAUGUAACCUAAACCCACAUAGGCCCACUAUCAUUAGACCCCUUGACCUAGUGUUUUCGGUUGGGGCGACCCCAAAAUAAAAAAAACUUUCCCGGAAAACAGUAACAUGACUACUACUAACUAAGACCUACACCCCAAAGUGCUUAAAUGUAAUCAGAUCNNNCAAAGCCGAUCUAUGAACCAAGCUACUCCAGGGAUAACAGCGCAAUCCCCCUCAAGAGCCCUUAUCGACAGNNGRGNUU